rnacentral:rRNA from 1 species
CUAAGCGUACACGGUGGAUGCCCUGGCAGUCAGAGGCGAUGAAGGGCGUGCUAAUCUGCGAUAAGCGCCGGUAAGGUGAUAUGAACCGUUAUAACCGGCGAUACCCGAAUGGGGAAACCCAGUGUGAUUCGUCACACUAUCAUUAACUGAAUCCAUAGGUUAAUGAGGCGACCCGCGGGAACUGAUUCAUCUAAAUACCCCGAGGAAAAGAAAUCAACCGAGAUUCCCCCA